CAGAAAACGAAAGAAUUCGAAAUUCUUCUGAAGUAAUAUUUCAAUUCCACAGAAACCUGUAUAGGAAGAUCAAAAAAGUGGGAAAUUCCUCAGACUAGAAUGGAAAACAGCAAGAUUAGAAAUAAGAUAAUUAGAACUAUGACACCCCCGACUCGGCUAUUAGGAUAGUUAAGAAAAAUAAGGACCUGAAAAAGCACACGUGUAACAAAUUCCUUCUUGUUCAGUGUGCAAUCCAUGUUGUUUGGACUUCGAAAAAUGGAAAUCGCAAAGCUAUUCUUUUCUUUUAAGUUAUAUUCAAGAAAACUCAGCCGUUGGAGAUGUACGGAUAAUGAUUUUAUGUAUAUCUUAACAUUUCUAUUUUAUCAUGUUCACACUUGUUCAAA